rnacentral:rRNA from 1 species
AUGUUUUUGCUACCACCCACUCACUUCAAAUAUGCUACCAUGGUGAUUUUUUUACUGGAAUCAGUGAACCACUUUGCUACAACCGUUUUGGUUUUUGUUACUAUUGUUUGUUUUGUGAUUUUUUGCUACAUCCAUCUCCAUGACAUGGCCUAUUUUUUCCAGUCAAUUUUGCUACAACCAUGCUUUGAUUUUGCUGGAAACGAAGACAAUUUUUGCUACAAUCAUUUUUUGAUUUUGUUGGAACCGAAGAUAAUUUUUGUUACAUCCACCAGGCGACGAUGGCUUUCUUUUUGCUGCAACCGUCUCGGAUUUUUGCUACUACAGGAGUUGCCAUUUUGCUACUACCAGAGCCUUGCUCGAAGCAUCAGGAGUUUUUGCUACCACCCAUUUUAUUUUUGUUUCGAUUUUUGUUGGAACCAGCCUAAAAAUUGCUCCAACCGUCGUUCAAUUUUGCUGGAACCGGCAUUUUUUGCUUCGCCGUGGCGGUGA